GUGGGGAAUCUUAGACAAUGGGCGCAAGCCUGAUCUAGCCAUGCCGCGUGAGCGAUGAAGGCCUUAGGGUUGUAAAGCUCUUUCGUGGGGGAAGAUAAUGACUGUACCCCAAGAAGAAGCCCCGGCUAACUCCGUGCCAGCAGCCGCGGUAAUACGGAGGGGGCUAGCGUUGUUCGGAAUUACUGGGCGUAAAGCGCACGUAGGCGGACUGGAAAGUCAGGGGUGAAAUCCCGGGGCUCAACCCCGGAACUGCCUUUGAAACUCCCAGGCUUGAGUUCGAGAGAGGUGAGUGGAAUUCCGAGUGUAGAGGUGAAAUUCGUAGAUAUUCGGAGGAACACCAGUGGCGAAGGCGGCUCACUGGCUCGAUACUGACGCUGAGGUGCGAAAGCGUGGGGAGCAAACAGGAUUAGAAACCCGGGUAGUCC
rnacentral:rRNA from 1 species